rnacentral:snRNA from 1 species
AUACUUACCUGGCAGGGGAGAUACCAUGAUCACGAAGGUGGUUUUCCCAGGGCGAGGCUUAUCCAUUGCACUCCGGAUGUGCUGACCCCUGCGAUUUCCCCAAAUGCGGGAAACUCGACUGCAUAAUUUGUGGUAGUGGGGGAAUGCGUCGCGCUCUCCCCUG